GCAGGCGGCCCCAGACUGGGGUGCGGCGGGCGGGGGGCUUGAUUGGGAGUGGAUGAUGGGCGUGGAGGGAACGUCUGCGGCCGGGGCCCCGGCGAGCGGCCCCUCCCCCACGCCCCAGCACUUCCAUCCUCGGGCGGAACCUCGCUCCGGCUCUCGGCGGGCCUGCCCCGCGCUCGGGCCCGCUCCCUCCCCUGCCCGCCCGCGUCUCGGUGCGCGCUCCAGCCCGGGAGAGGCGGAGGGGCCCGGUUCUGCCGCCGCCGCCAUCUUGCGGUCCCGCGGGGGCGCCUCCUGGUGCUGCCCGCGCUGCUGCCCGCGCCUGGCACUUGUCCUUGGCCCCUGAGGAACGACGGGCGUGGCCUGGGAGGGCGUGGGUGGGUGGUGACCUUCCCGCGUGCGCUCCGGUCUGCGCUGGAGACGGGGGCUCUGGGGCUGGCGCAAGUGCGUCCGUCACCCGCGCGGGUGGUCGGGAGGCGGGAGGGGAGGCGAGCAGCGGCGCGGCGGGCCCUGGACGCGGCUCCGGGAGAGAACCACCCCGCGGCCCGCGCUCCCUCCAUCCACCUCCCGGGAAGCGCUGGGUGGAGCCCGCCCUCGGUUCUCGCCGAGGGGGUGGCUACCUGCCUUCCUGCCCCGCUGAUGAGUCGGCUGUCAGGUCCGGGGGGAACCGGGGCGGCGGAGGAGCCCAGAAAGUCUUCUGGUUCUGACUUAGCCGGCGGCGUUGGCGGAGACCCAGGCGCGCGGCUGGAAGGCCCUGCGUCAGCCCCAGGAUGGGCAGUAGUAGGCGGGUAGUAGACGCCUUGUGCCCUCCGCUGGGACACCUCGGCUUACCUUCCGCGCGGGGCCGACCUGCUGUUUGUCGGCUCUUGUGGAGCCCUUGAAUGGAGCCCUCUCGCUGCGGAGUCUUCAGUGUUCGCGGCUUUUGCCUUCACGUUUGUGGUUUCUCAGCCGACCCCCGCGCCAGAAGGCUGAUCCGGUGUCACUCGGCUCUGAGCGCCGUGGAUUGAUUUUGCAGCGAUGCCCACAGGCAUUGAUCUGACUUGGUGAUCGGAGGCACCGAAGCGGCUCUCCGGCCCAGUUGCUUUUUAAUACGUAGGGUACCCUAGGGAAGAGAGUUAAACUGCACAGUUUCUUUUUAGAAGUAGUGAAAGUGUGUGACGAUCCCAAGUAGAAAGCGGAUUCCUUCCUAGCUGCAGUUCAGUGUGAAAUUUUAAAAAGUAAUCUAAAGUCUGAGAUUUCAGUGAGUUUGAAAAAAUAUUAAAGAAAGCAAAUACUGACCUCAAGUUGAUAUACCUGCUCAGGUUUUUAGGAGUGAGUGUACUAAUGUCUUCAUCUUACUUUAGAAUGCAUAAAAAAUAGGAUGGAGAGAUGAGCAGACAGAGAUGGAUAGAUUGUUAUGUCUAAAGUAAUUAGAACGAAAUGUUAAUUUUAGAAUUUAGGUAAAUGGAUAUGAUUUUUCACUGUGCAGUUAUUUCAGUUUCUCUUUAUGAAAUUUUUCAAAAUGUUGGGGAAAAGUCAACUGAACUCUUAUUUCUCCCCAUCAAUUUUCUUUGCAACUAAACUCAGCUUGGCAUUCAAGAAAACUUUAAUGCAAUUUACAUCAAAAUAUGGAUGGAUGAUAAACAUUUAAAAAUUGUUUACUCAGAGUGGUUUUACUAUUAGCUGUUUCUAGUUUAAUGGGGUUCCUUUUAAGAUUGGGAGGUUUGGACAAUAAAGGUCCCAUUACUUAGUAAGAAGUCAUUACUCUAAAUACUGGAAUUUUGGAUAUAAAACCUGAAUAUAAAGGACAUUUUAUGCCUGAAAUACAUUUUUAGGCAGAGGAGGCAGGACAGUCCGCUUUAGGACAUCCUUUCUGAGUGAGCUACCCUAACUUUUUCCUACCUUUGAGAUUUCAGGUUCCAAGUUUUUUUUUGUAUGGCGAACACUUUUUAUAUAAAGGCCAUAUUUGUAUAUGUUAUAUUUCUGUCUGAUAGGAUUUGGGGCCUGGAAUAGGAUUUUGGUUUAUUGGCAAUGACAUUUGUAAGUGGAGUGAGGACAGAGUACUUAGUGACAGAAAAUGUUAUAGUCCUUUAAAAGGGGUACUAAAGGAGAGGUCAACCCAUGUAAUUAAAAGGUCAAGUUAUUUUUAUUGUAGUUCCCUCCCUGCCCACCUCCCCGUAAAAGAUUGCAAAUAGAUGUAACUUGAAUUAUGUGGAAUUUUCUUGUUUUUAUGGACUUUUCUUACAUAUAAACAGUGAAAUUUCAUCUCUAACAUAGGAAGUAUGUGUCAGGUGGUUCUUGUGAUUGGUGACUAGUAUACUAUCAGAUAACUUUACAAUGGAUUAUUCCAGUAAUUAAGCAUCUAUGUUGGACAAAUGACAGGAUUUUCUUUCUUCAAAAAAAAAAAAGGUUUUAUUACCUUUUGUAACUUUUAUUUUUAUUGUUGAUGCUAUUAUAGAUGUCCCUCCUAUCUCCACCCAGCCCCAGCCCCCCUUCCCUCUGUCUGUCACUUUAUUGUAUGUGUCUAUAGGCUAGCUUUUCUAAAAAAAAUUAAAAGUUUGUUUUGUAUAAAGGAAAACUAUGUAAGGAAUUAUCAAAAGUAAAUGCUCAUGUAAUCAAUGCUCAGGACAAGAAAUAGAACUUGGCCAGCAUUCCAGAACUCUCCUUCUACCCUUUCCUAGUUACUACCUCCUUUCUCUGUUAAGUUAACCCCUAUCCUAGCUGUUCGUAACCAUUAAUUUUUCUUUUUUAAUAUGUUUUUAUUGAUUUUUCGGGAGAGAGGGAUAUGGUGAUAGAAACAUCAAUGAUGAGAGAGAAACAUCAUUGAUUGGCUGCCUCCUGCAUGCCCCCUACUGGGGGAUUGAGCCUACAACCUGGGCAUGUGCUCCGACCUGGAAUUGAACCAGUGACCUCUUGGACCAUGGAUCUAUGCUCAACCUCUAAGCCACAUCAGCCGAGCUAAUUUGUUUUCUUACUGGUUUAAUCACUUAAGCAUUGAAGAGGAUAAGUUAUUCAAUUAGUAAAGCAAGAGAUUAUUAACACAUUGUGGACCAGUAGUUUUAUUGCUUGCUUUACCUAGUGGCCAGAUAAGUUUCUAUUGAAUGAGUACAAAUUUUUUUUUUUACAUAAAUGUUAAAGGCAUACUUUAAAAUUAAAUAUCCAUUGCAUUUUAAAGUUAUUUAUUAUAUGUUCGUACAAGCUAAUGUCUGUUUAAAGUAUGAUACUUUGUAAAACACUAUGUAAUAUGCAGUGAGAAUUCUGAUGAUCCGUCCGCAAUGUGUUAAUAUAAUGCAGUGUUUUUAAACACUACGAGACACAGUGUCCCAUUUUAAUAUUUUAUAUUUUGUAAUGUCCUUUUUACCAUCCCAAAAUGAAAUUCAUAUAAGAAAUUACCUGGCAACUAAUUAAAAUUUUAAUAUAAUUCCCUAACUAUAACAUAAAGGAGAAAUAAAAAGAAAGUAAAAUUUUAAAAAAGUAUGUAUUUUGUUUUGUAAAUGUUUGGGCACAUAUGUACUAGAAGUUAUAAUGAAGUAGUAGCCAGAUGCUUGUGACCUACUUAUAAUAAACUAGAGGCCUGGUGCACAGGAUUCGUGCUCUGGUGGGGGACAUGGCCUGCAGGACUCAGCCCGUUGUAGGUGCGCUACUCAUCCCCAUCAGUCGAGCGGCGCUCCCACUGUGGGAGCGCACUGACCACCAGGGGGCAGCUUCUGUGUUGUCUGUCCCCUGGUGGUGUGUGUGUCAUAGUGACUAGUCAACGGGUCAUCUGGUCGUUCUGCCGUUCAGUUGCUGGGCUUUAUUAUAUAGGAUAAGUUUGCAUUUAAGAAAAGUAAGGCAAGCCAGCUGGCAUGGCUCAGUGGUUGAGCAUCCACCUAUGAACCUGUGUGCAGGAGGCAGCUGAUCAAUGAUUCUCUCUUAUCAUUGAUGUUUCUAUCUCUCUCUCCCUCUCCCUUCCUCUCUGAAAUCAAUAAAAAUGUUUUAAAAAAGAAAAGGAAGGCAAGAGUUAUAUCUGAAUAGAGGGCUGACUGCUUUUAACAUUUUUGUAAUGGCAAAAUAAGAAUAUUUAUGCAUAUGGGUAGAAUUGUGAAUGUGUCACAACUCUCUGCGGAAUGUUACAGAUAUGUUGUAGUGAUGAUUCAAAUAUCUUGAGUGACAUUGCAGUUGUUAGAAUAAUUUUUUGUAAUGGUAAAUUUGCUUUUAAACUUUUGGAAGGAAGAAAACAUUUUUUUUUCCUGUUUUUCACAAUAGGUAAAUUUGAAAAAGGCAUUUUUCAUCAUUAUUAAUUUUUAGAGCGGUAUUUGAAAAUUUGGUGGGAUUAGGAGCAUAUUACUUCAUUGUAUGGGUCUCCCCUGGCAUUGCAGGGUGUCUACCAUAUUGGUCCAUUUUCCCCAACAACAGUACCACCUAGUCAUAAUGUCAGGCAAAAAUAACGGACAGGGAUAGUAUUACUCUGGGACUUAGGAUUGUUUCAUAGCAAGUAAAUAAUGUAGAUUUUUUUUCCCUCUGCUUUUGAGUGUUGGUAAAGAUAGAUUUUUUAUUAGGUCUUUUUAACCUGCAGCCUUCAGGGGUCCAGGUCUCCCUCCCACCCCUACCUAAUCUCCUUAUCUCACCCUUAUCCCCCAAAAUUCAGUGUAAAAUUGUUGUGAAUAUUUGUCUUUGUAUGUUUUUCUGGGCUACUGCAUAUAACUUCGAGAUUCUCAAAGGGUUCUGUGACCCAAAACAGCGGACCAGAUAACUUCUUUCUUGUCGAGAUCUCUUAAUAGCUGUUAAAUCUGGUUAUUCUGCUGAUGGUCAUUAGUACUUGCUAAUU